rnacentral:lncRNA from 1 species
CGCCCCUCCCUUUCUGCGACUGGCUGUUAGGCGUGGGUCUCCGCCCCACAGCCCUGCGCCUGCGCGUGGGCCUGGGCCGCCCGUCGUACCUGAUGGUAGGAGGCAGUAGUUCCCCGCUUCCCUUCCGCGGGAGGGAGAGUUAGGUAUGGCCCAUCUCCUGUACGCUUGGAGCGACCUUUGGCUACGUGGCUGGCCUUGUUAUUUCACCACUCUGGAUAUACUGGAAUAGAAAGCAACUUACAUACAAGAACAAUUAACUGGAGCAAAGGGAGAUAUUUCUUUGUGCAGAUUCUGUAAGGGCUGGGCAGAAAUGUGUAUGGUCAAAGCCAAGCAGUUCCAUUUACAGCUCUGUUUUUUACGUAGUUACAACAUGAUGUGAUUGUAGCUUUUUAAACUAUGAAACCCCUGAGAGAUUGUACCUUCUAGUUGAAAUAAAGUAUUUAUAAUAGAUUGUGGCUUC